rnacentral:rRNA from 1 species
AUUGAACGCUGGCGGAAUGCUUUACACAUGCAAGUCGAGCGGCAGCGCGGGGCAACCUGGCGGCGAGCGGCGAACGGGUGAGUAAUGCAUCGGAACAUGUCCAAGUCGUGGGGGAUAGCCCGGCGAAAGCCGGAUUAAUACCGCAUACGCCCGAGAGGGGAAAGCCGGGGACCGCAAGGCCUGGCGCGAUUGGGUUGGCCGAUGUCCGAUUAGCUAGUUGGCGGGGUAAGAGCCCACCAAGGCGAUGAUCGGUAGCUGGUCUGAGAGGAUGAUCCGCCACACUUGGACUGAGACACGGACCAGACUCCUACGGGAGGCAGCAGUGGGGAAUUUUGGACAAUGGGGGAAACCCUGAUCCAGCCAUUCCGCGUGAGUGAAGAAGGCCUUCGGGUUGUAAAGCUCUUUUGUCCGGAACGAAACGGUGCUCGUGAAUAUCGAGCGCUACUGACGGUACCGGAAGAAUAAGCACCGGCUAACUCUGUGCCAGCCGCCGCCGUAAGAC